rnacentral:ncRNA from 1 species
UCAAAGGCUUUGAAGGCGUUUCAGGGAAUUGUUUCCUUUCAGAGAGAGGGAGUCAGCGGCUGUAAGCCCCCUUAAGUUCAGACAGUUUCUUAUUUUCCCGCCGGAGCUUCAUCUUUGAACUAUUUCAGUAGGAGAUGACGUUGAUGCGCGUUAAGCAUGACUCGAGUGCCUGCUCUUUAGCAGGAAACAGGGUGGUACCGCGGAUAAUGACUCCGUCCCUUUU